rnacentral:rRNA from 1 species
AGGACCGGAGUGGACGAACCUCUGGUGUUCGGGUUGUGUCGCCAGACGCAUUGCCCGGUAGCUAAGUUCGGGAUCGAUAACCGCUGAAAGCAUCUAAGCGGGAAGCGAGCCCUGAGAUGAGUCUUCCCUGAUACUUUAAGUAUCCUAAAGGGUUGUUCGAGACUAGAACGUUGAUAGGCAGGGUGUGUAAGCGUUGUGAGGCGUUGAGCUAACCUGUACUAAUUGCCCGUGAGGCUUAACCAU